rnacentral:tRNA from 1 species
GCACCAAUGGUCUAGUGGUAGAAUAGUACCCUACCACGAUACACACCUGGGUUCGAUUCCCGGCUGGUGCA